rnacentral:tRNA from 1 species
CGUCCGCCUGUAUCAUCACGUUCGAUGGGAUCGUUUUUGAGGCGUUCAAGCGGGCUCAUAGUUUGAUGAUGUGCGGCGGCUUCGGCGGCCGC